rnacentral:rRNA from 1 species
UACGAAGGGGGGCUAGCGUUGUUCGGAUUUACUGGGCGUAAAGCGCACGUAGGCGGAUCGAUCAGUCAGGGGUGAAAUCCCAGAGCUCAACUCUGGAACUGCCUUUGAUACUGUCGAUCUGGAGUAUGGAAGAGGUGAGUGGAAUUCCGAGUGUAGAGGUGAAAUUCGUAGAUAUUCGGAGGAACACCAGUGGCGAAGGCGGCUCACUGGUCCAUUACUGACGCUGAGGUGCGAAAGCGUGGGGAGCAAAACAGG